AGUGAACGCUGGCGGUAGGCCUAACACAUGCAAGUCGAACGGCAGCACAGUAAGAGCUUGCUCUUACGGGUGGCGAGUGGCGGACGGGUGAGGAAUACAUCGGAAUCUACUUUUUCGUGGGGGAUAACGUAGGGAAACUUACGCUAAUACCGCAUACGACCUACGGGUGAAAGCAGGGGAUCUUCGGACCUUGCGCGAUUGAAUGAGCCGAUGUCGGAUUAGCUAGUUGGCGGGGUAAAGGCCCACCAAGGCGACGAUCCGUAGCUGGUCUGAGAGGAUGAUCAGCCACACUGGAACUGAGACACGGUCCAGACUCCUACGGGAGGCAGCAGUGGGGAAUAUUGGACAAUGGGCGCAAGCCUGAUCCAGCCACACCGCGUGAGUGAAGAAGGCCUUCGGGUUGUAAAGCCCUUUUGUUGGGAAAGAAAAGCAGCGGGUUAAUACCCCGCUGUUCUGACGGUACCCAAAGAAUAAGCACCGGCUAACUUCGUG
rnacentral:rRNA from 1 species